rnacentral:rRNA from 1 species
UCUAGAGGCUUCCACAAUGGACGAAAGUCUGAUGGAGCGACGCCGCGUGCGGGAUGAAGGCCGUGAGGUUGUAAACCGCUGUCAGCAGGGAAGAAUGCCCGAAUGGCGAAUUCGGGAGAGACGGUACCUGCAGAGGAAGCCCCGGCUAACUCCGUGCCAGCAGCCGCGGUAAUACGGAGGGGGCGAACGUUGUUCGGAAUUACUGGGCGUAAAGGGUGCGUAGGCGGUUCGGCCAGUCGGAUGUGAAAGCCCAUGGCUCAACUAUGG